ensembl:ncRNA lncRNA:CR45958 long non-coding RNA:CR45958
ACUCAUCGAAUCUCGGCCCAUCUCAUCUCGCCUGGCGUUGUCAACAAUGUAAUUUAUCAGGCAAGCGACAUAAUUACCUGCCACUUAUGGCAAUAAAAAAAACCAACGCAACGGAGCGAGACAGCAAAGAAACCUGGCCCGAACCGAAACGAGCCUGGCUGAAAGGCCCGCUGCUUGCAUUCAAAUGCAGUCCGCCGCUGGGGGGACGAGCGGAAGCUGAGGCUGCAACUGAAGCUGAAGGAUUUAUGUUCUUACAAAACGCUCCGAGGCGCUUAACAAGUGAGGCAACCAACCGGCGACCAGGGCCAUAGAUUGAUCGUCUUUGCGGAUGUACACUCGGAAAAGUCAAUAACAUCGAUAAAAUAAUUCAGUAAUUUAAAUUGAAUAAAAUAUAUAUUAAAUUCAAGUAAAACUGAAAUCUAACGGUGGAACCCCACCCAAAUUUCUCUCUUAAGAAUUGU